rnacentral:rRNA from 1 species
AACCAACAGGGAUUGCCCUAGUAACGGCGAGUGAAGCGGCAACAGCUCAAAUUUGAAAUCUGGCCUUCGGGUCCGAGUUGUAAUUUGUAGAGGAUGCUUUUGGUGAGGUGCCUUCCGAGUUCCCUGGAACGGGACGCCAUAGAGGGUGAGAGCCCCGUCUGGUUGGACACCGAUCCUCUGUAAAGCUCCUUCAACGAGUCGAGUAGUUUGGGAAUGCUGCUCUAAAUGGGAGGUAUAUGUCUUCUAAAGCUAAAUAUUGGCCAGAGACCGAUAGCGCACAAGUAGAGUGAUCGAAAGAUGAAAAGCACUUUGAAAAGAGAGUUAAAAAGUACGUGAAAUUGUUGAAAGGGAAGCGCUCAUGACCAGACUUGGGCUUGGUUGAUCAUCCAGGGUUCUCCCUGGUGCACUCUUCCAGUUCAGGCCAGCAUCAGUUCGCUGCGGGGGAUAAAGGCUUUGGGAAUGUGGCUCCUUCGGGAGUGUUAUAGCCCAUUGUGUAAUACCCUGUGGUGGACUGAGGACCGCGCUUUUGCAAGGAUGCUGGCGUAAUGGUCAUCAGUGACCCGUCUUGAAACACGGACCAAGGAGUCGUCUUCGUAUGCGAGUGUUCGGGUGUUAAACCCCUACGCGUAAUGAAAGUGAACGCAGGUGAGAGCUUCGGCGCAUCAUCGACCGAUCCUGAUGUUCUCGGAUGGAUUUGAGUAAGAGCAUACGGGGCCGGACCCGAAAGAAGGUGAACUAUGCCUGUAUAGGGUGAAGCCAGAGGAAACUCUGGUGGAGGCUCGCAGCGGUUCUGACGUGCAAAUCGAUCGUCAAAUAUGGGCAUGGGGGCGAAAGACU